UAUACAGGCCAUUUUUAGUUG
rnacentral:piRNA from 1 species